GAGAAGGAAGGCAGAGAGACGCCAUGGAUCUGCUGGAUACAGACGCUGGGAAUUUUACCCGGCUAAGCUAGCCGGGCUGCUAGAAUGAACAAGCGGGCCCUCCUCCAACAAGCACAGAGCACCAGGACCAAGGAGACCGACCCUCUCUCAAGUAAGGUGGAGAGUGUUUGAGGAAGUCAUUUGAUGUCAACCUCUGGCAAACUUGCAUGCACUCAUGCAAACACACACACACACACACACACACACACACACACUUAAAAAUACUUCUUUUAAUAAUAUUUCUGGUAUUCUUUAAUAACAGUAGUUCUGUCAUAAGACUGCAGAUGGAAAACUCUCCAGAUUAAAACCCACUAAACCCCAGGAGGUAAAGGUGUGUGUAGCCAAGCCGGAGGACCUCAGUUUGAUCUUCAGGACUCACAAAGUGGAAAAGAAAGCUAACUUCCACCUGUUCGGCUUUGACUUCCACAUGUAUGCUGUGGUAUGUUCACAUGUGAAUAUACAUGCAAGAAUGCAUACACACACAAUAAAAAUAUAACUAAAAAUAAAUAAAGACUAGUUUUAUUUGCUUUAAAGUCUGCAUAAAAAUAAAAAUCAAAACAAACAAACAAAAAUGGAAUUACUGAACAAUUUGGGAGUUUUGAAAUAAAUCGUGGUGGUCAGUAGGCACCAAUGUGGCUUCAUUAAAUAUAAAUGCCAAAGCCUAAGAGACAAUAGUAAAAGUUGUCUGUCAGUGUUAUAGUGACUUAUCACAUGAUGUGCUCUAUAACAGAACUUAUUGUCUUAUCCUACUUGCUUGGCACUCCUUCUGAUUUCUGGAGGGAAUUGUUGCAUUGUCUUUAGAAAAUGUUUCUUGCACUUAUUCUGUUCAUGUGGAUAUUAAAGAGGCUGUUAAUUAUGCUA